GUGGCAGAGUGGUCGAAUGCGGCGGUCUCGAAAACCGUUAACGGGUAACCCCCGUUCGAGGGUUCGAACCGAGCGCCGCAG
rnacentral:tRNA from 1 species